UGUCAAUCUUAUGAUUUAGGUUUGAAUAAAUAUUUCAAGAAAAUGUUGAAUGAAAAUGCUGAGUUCAAAGCGCUUGCUCUAAAAGAAAUUCGCACAGCAUCUGAUGGAAUAAGAAAGAUUUUAUUCACAUUGGAUGAUGGGCUGGUCAUAGAAACAGUUGUCAUACUUUGUGACAGAGGUAGGACUACUGUGUGUGUUUCAAGUCAAGUUGGAUGUGCCAUGAAUUGUAAAUUUUGCUACACUGGAAGAAUGGGUCUUCGGAGACAUCUUACUGCUGCAGAAAUAGUAGAGCAGGCUGUUUUUGCCAGACGGCUGUUCACAGAUGAAGUUGGUUCCUUUACAAGUGUUGUCUUUAUGGGCAUGGGGGAACCACUUCAUAACACUGAUAAUGUCAUUAAAGCUGCAUAUAUAAUGGUGGAUGAGCAAGGGCUUUAGUUCAACCCCUGCAAGGUCACCAUUUCAACUAGUGGGCUUGUUCCACAGCUCAAACGUUUCCUCCAUGAAUCGAACUGUGCAUUAGCUGUUAGUUUGAAUUGAUGAGUGAUGAGGAUGUAGAGAGGCUUAUCGAGCUUGUGAAGGGAAUUUCUUGCAAGAUUAAUCUAAUCUCAUUCAAUCCGCACAGUGGAUCAUUCUUCAAACCAACCAAAUAUGAAAGGAUGAUUGAAUUCCGAAAUACAUUGGCUGGGGCAGGAUUGAUAGUCUUUUUAAGACUUAGUAGAGGUGAUGAUCAAUUGGCUGCCUGUGGUCAAUUGGGUAAGCCUGGCACCAUUCAAGCUCCAUUGCUUCGUGUACCAGAGCAAUUCCAAAUGGCAAUUGGAAGUUCAACUUGAUUCUUUGUGGAGGUUCUGUUGCAAAUUGAUCUUACAGUUAUUAACGAAGAAUUAUAUAGGACACUUGUGGUGGGGGUAGCUAGGGAUGAGUUCAUGCUGAGAAUGCAAGACCAAGAGCUAAAUUAGGGGGAUGUCUGUCUGUUUUCAUAUUGUACUUUUCCAUUUUACAGUUAAUUGAUAUAUAUUUUUUUAUUAAUGUGAAGGAUCCAGAUUACUUACUGGCUAAGAAAUAAGAAAUAAAAAUGAUUUAAAUAUAUUUUUAGUC